UUUUUUUUUUGAGAUCGUUAUGUAAACGGUAUUAAAAUCGCUUGCGACAGGAUUAAUGAGUCUACAGCUGGAAUGUUCAUACGAGAAUGUUGUUCGUAUGACACUUAGAAGGAGAACCACACUACAUAAGGAACAAUCCGUUUCCCGCCGUACUGACGGAUUCCUUUGAGGGAACACAUAGAGAGAAGUGCAGGUAAUAUCCAACCAAACUUCACAGCUUUCUCCAUCUGCCAGUGCAAAGGAACAAUUUCUGUAAAAGAAUGUUUAAAUAAAGAAAAUUUAUUUAUCGAAAAAUACAGAACACGCCUAAAUAUGAACACAUAACCAACUUUGUUCUCAGUGUAUAUUACAAUUCAUGAUCUCAUACACGUCACUGUACAUAUUUCUUCUCACUACUUUAGCUUAUGAGUUUAUGUAGAUUUAUUUAUCUCCUCCCCAAAAGAUGAUGAAUUACCUCCCCUGUCCCCAAUAAUAACGGUCAGCAAUUACCUCCUCUUAGAUUUUUCUACUUGUUGAUUCAUACACAAACUCCAUGGAUUAAAAUCCUAAGAAAAUACGAAAUUACAAUAAUUUCAAAGUCAUGAUUAUUGAAAGCGAAACCCGUCGACAAACAAUACUCUUUCGCUUAUAAAAAAUAUCAGAGUAUAUUAAAACUAUGUAAAUCGUG